rnacentral:rRNA from 1 species
AUGCCCUGGUAUACAUGGUGGAAGCUUUGCUACCCAAAAAGUGAGGGGGGUAUGUGGUUCAGAGAUCUCUAUUCUUUUAAUCUUGCCAUGCUCUAAAAGCAAGUUUGGCGGUUGAUCACUAACCCGGAUUCCCUAUGUGCAAGAGUAUUGAAAGCUAAAUACUUCCCUAAUGAAAGUUUAUUACAAGCUACCCUGAAGAGUGGUGCUUCGUUUACGUGGCAAAGCAUUAUGAAAGGUCUUGAAACAUUUAAGUUGGGGUAUAUCUGGAGGGUUGGUACCGGUGAGAACAUUAACAUCUGGAGCGACCCCUGGAUACCGUCUAGUCCGGACAGGAGAGUUUUAUCAAACCGGGGGCAAACACUGAUAUCACGAGUACAUGAUCUAAUUGACCCUAUGACUGGUUUUUGGGACAAGGAACUGAUCAGAUCUAUAUUCAUAUCGGUUGAUGUAGACAGGAUCUUGCAAAUUCCCCUAAACUAUGGGGCUUUCGAGGACUUUAUCGCAUGGCACCCGGAUCAUAAAGGGUUUUUCUCUAUGAAAUCAGCAUACAAAGUACAAUGGAUACGAUCUUUCCCGGCACAUGCAACGGUGAUGGCACGACCUGGAGGCUCAAGAACUCCAGCAGUGUGGAGUACACUAUGGAAACAAAAGGUCCCACGUAAAAUUCAAAUUUUUUGUUGGCGUGCUCUACAUGGUAUUAUUCCGCUAGAGUCCAUACUCACGAACUGUCAUAUUUGAACUAAUGGGGCAUGUCCUAUAUGUCAUCAAGAUGCGGAAGAUCGCCACCUACUGUUUGAUUGUUGCAAUGCCAAGCACCUCUGGGAACGCCUAGGCAUUGCGGGAAUGAUUGAGGAAGCAAAGUUGAUUGAUCGCUCAGGGUCAGUUAUAUUGGAACAUCUACUCCUUGCACCAGAUUUACCCUUGUCACUGAAACCAAAUAUUACUGCCAAACAAGCUCUUAUGGUGGGCAACUGGUACUUAUGGUGGAUAAGACGUGAACUCACUCAUGAUGGUAGACCACCACAUCCCACGCGGUGGCAUAUGUCCGUCCUGGCAAUUGCUAGUAAUUAUCAUGAAGCUAAUCGCAAACAAAAUGAUAAUAGAGAGAUGAAGUACGUGGACAAAACCAGACCUCAUCUUCAUAAAGGUAAAUGUUGA